GAUGAACGCUGGCGGCGUGCCUAAUACAUGCAAGUCGAGCGAACAGACGAGGAGCUUGCUCCUCUGACGUUAGCGGCGGACGGGUGAGUAACACGUGGAUAACCUACCUAUAAGACUGGGAUAACUUCGGGAAACCGGAGCUACUACCGGAUAAUAUAUUGAACCGCAUGGUUCAAUAGUGAAAGACGGUUUUGCUGUCACUUUUAGAUGGAUCCGCGCCGCAUUAGCUAGUUGGUAAGGUAACGGCUUACCAAGGCGACGAUGCGUAGCCGACCUGAGAGGGUGAUCGGCCACACUGGAACUGAGACACGGUCCAGACUCCUACGGGAGGCAGCAGUAGGGAAUCUUCCGCAAUGGGCGAAAGCCUGACGGAGCAACGCCGCGUGAGUGAUGAAGGUCUUCGGAUCGUAAAACUCUGUUAUUAGGGAAGAACAAAUGUGUAAGUAACUAUGCACGUCUUGACGGUACCUAAUCAGAAAGCCACGGCUAACUACGUG
rnacentral:rRNA from 1 species